rnacentral:tRNA from 1 species
CGGGGUGUGGCUCAGAUUGGUAGAGCGCUUGGUUCGGGACCAAGAGGCCGCUGGUUCAAAUCCAGUCACUCCGACCA